rnacentral:snRNA from 1 species
UUGCUUUGACAGCACAUAUACUAAAAGUGGAAUGAUACAGAGAAGAUUAGCACGGCCCCUGCGCAAGGGUGACAUGCAAAUUUGUGAAGUGUUCCAUAUUUAA